ACUUUAAUAUGAAUGCCCCUCCAGAAAGCCCUAAAUUAGCAGUCAUUCCUGUUCCAGAUCCAUCACACUCUGACACUGCCGCAGUGUGUUCAACCUCAGAUACCUUGGAUAACUCUGAUGAAAUAAUCAGUAUGACUGCAGAAC